rnacentral:rRNA from 1 species
GCGUGUGUGAUGAAGGCUUUCGGGUCGUAAAGCACUGUUGUAUGGGAAGAAMUYCMMAAAUAGGGAAUGAUUUUAGUUUGACGGUACCAUACCAGAAAGGGACGGCUAAAUACGUGCCAGCAGCCGCGGUAAUACGUAUGUCCCGAGCGUUAUCCGGAUUUAUUGGGCGUAAAGCGAGCGCAGACGGUUGAUUAAGUCUGAUGUGAAAGCCCGGAGCUCAACUCCGGAAUGGCAUUGGAAACUGGUUAACUUGAGUGUUGUAGAGGUAAGUGGAACUCCAUGUGUAGCGGUGAAAU